CGGCAGUAUUCGCUGCGGUUUUCCUCGUUCCUUAGUCAGUCAGCCGACGCUAGUGGUUCCGGCAGGAUCUUCAAAACACAGACGGGAUACACUUCUCGAUAACCUUGACGUCAUACUCUAAGAGCCUACUGGUUCAUGAGAGAGCUCCAUUGAGCUCGCCAUUCAGUUACCCGCUACAGUCACCCAAGAGGAAUUCCAACCGACAGUCUACACAUACCAGUCCUUCUCAGUGUGUUCUACGGUUCCCAGGAAUUGGCCAGUUAUUUGCGUUUUGGAGUUGUUAGGAGCCUAGAAGUCAAAAAGCGCACCACCAGCCGGACAAUUCGACGCCUUCCUUUCGUCACCAGUAUUAUAUCAUGUAAAGGGGAUCUGAAAGAUGUUGACCACAGAACAACGAGUCACCGCUGCAAGUUGGAGACUCCGAGGACUACCCUUUGCUGAGGUUCAAGAAUGGUUUCAUCUGCGCUACCGUAGAGAAGCCCCAACGCAAGAAACCAUUAGUGGUUAGGUCAACAAGUUCGAGUAAAGUGCAAAUGUCUGUGUCGAGAAAUAUUCCAGUCGGUCAUCGACGUUGCAGGGAGCUGUGGAGACCAUACGACAGGCUGUCGAGCAGAGACCAAAAGCAGUCGACACGUCUUUUCGGUCAGAACACGACAUCUGAAAGCCCACUGUGUGCCAAAGUUGGAUUUCAUACUGAAGAAAAAGGCUUAUCACACCCAGGUGGUCCAUCAUUUUGAACCUCAGCAAUCUUUCGUUUUGCUGUCUUCCGUUGCCAGGCCAGACUGAUCAGUGAGCGACUGGAUGGAAGCCUUCGACCCGCUUACCGAUUUUACGUAAGAUCAGAAUUUCCUUGGGUUUUCAGCAUGAUCUUUUGCUAAGGUACAAUUUAACGAUUAUGUGGAAAGCGCAGGAAGAAGAGACAAAGUCGAAAAGAAAAGAAGCACCAAGGAGGAAUUAUCCGAAUGGAACGGAAUCGUCCUGGAAUAUCUUUGACUGAAGUAGGUCUUCAGUGAUGAGUCCCACUUGGUACUGAGCCACUACGACCAGCGAAGACGUAUGUGGAGAAGACCCGUACAGCGAUGGAAUACCAACAAGACUGUUGCCCGCCAUAAGGACCAAUAAUCGGGAUUGGUCGUGUGGGUGUGGGGCGGCGGGUGGAAUUAUUGUUGUUAUAUAAAUGUUUGGUUUGUAGAAUGUAAAACCAGUUCCUGUUAUUUAGAAUGUUAUUUAUACUGUCUUUCGCCGUUCUCAACACAGGCUUUCUAACUACAAUAUUGGCAACCAGAAAGUGAUUAGCAAAACGUGAUGCCUGCAAUUAGAAUUCCUAGUGCCCACUUCAUCUGAGAAACACACUUACAGCUGCAGCUUAUAGCUCUGAGAAAUUAGGAGAUUGUCUAGGAUUCAUAAUCAAAAACGAUUUUGAUUAAAAUAGUUCAGUAUAUUCUGAAAGUCACAGAUGAAAACAAAAGAAUCCACACAAUCUAACUAACAGCAGUUCAGAGUCUAAUGCGCUAAUGCCACUAUAACUGUCCAAAUUAAAUGUUUAAAUGAAUGCUCGCCAAAAUUUGAUGAUUAAUUUCAUCAAACGCCACGCUAAAUAAUUGGUAGAAUGUCUGUCCCGCGGCGGCACGUGAAAAUACGACAAUACGCAAACUGAAGAUCGAUAAUUAAAGUCAUCCCAGAAUUAACACUUCACUCGAAAAUGAUUUCAUGGUUACGCGUAUCUCGAGCAACUUAAUACGGCAUCCGAGGCUGUUUGUAGCAAUGAUACCGACGCGACGCGACUCCCGACACAGAUGACGUGUUAUUCAGCGUCUGGAGAGAACUGGGGCCUUCCUUCCUCGUGCAGCGUUCUUAUAUAUAAAGCCGCGGUGCGGACGGCUAAGCGAACGCCUGAUCAAAUCGGCUCUCCCGACUAGCCGCUGGGCUAGUAAUGCACCACAUUAAGUUAUUGAAUAAAUCAUAGCUUCUUUUGCUGAUGGCCGAUGAAGCUCUCAAUUUAAAUGUGUAUUCAACACACAGGUAAGUAAUCAUAAUAAAAGUUUGACGUGGCUAAGUUAAAUAUUUUGGGCGAGAGAAUUAAUUUAAUUACACUGCACGCAGUAGAUGAGCUCUGAACUGCUCUUUGGAGAUACGCUAUCGCUAUAGUUUUAUAGGUAUUCAAAUGAAACUUCUCACAUCUUCAUAGUUAUAGCGGAUCUCCAAACUACUUAAAUAUAAACAUCCUAGCCUUAUUAAUA